AGUGGAUGGGGAGCAACCUAGUUGUGCGUGUGUAAAGGUAGUGCCAAGAAAAGCGAUGAUCAUGUUGAAAAUCAAUUCCCGGUACCCGAAACCGACACAGGUGGGCAAGUAGAGAAUACUAAGGGGCGCGAGGUAACUCUCUCCAAGGAACUCGGCAAAAUGACCCCGUAACUUAGGGAGAAGGGGUGCCACCGAGAGGUGGUCGCAGUGAAGAGGCCCAGGCGACUGUUUAGCAAAAACAUAGGUCUCUGCAAACUCGAAAGAGGAGGUAUAGGGGCUGACGCCUGCCCAGUGCCGGAAGGUUAAAGAAGUUGGUCAGUUUUAGGAUGAAGCUAGCGACUGAAGCCCCGGUGAACGGCGGCCGUAACUAUAACGGUCCUAAGGUAGCGAAAUUCCUUGUCGGGUAAGUUCCGACCCGCACGAAAGGCGUAACGAUCUGGGCGCUGUCUCGGAGAGAGGCUCGGCGAAAUAGGAUUGUCUGUGAAGAUACGGACUACCUGCAUUUGGACAGAAAGACCCUAUGAAGCUUUACUAUAGCUUGGAAUUGUGUUCGGGCUUCCUGUGCGCAGGAUAGGUGGGAGGCGAAGAAGGUAUUCUUGUGGGGAUACUGGAGCCAACGGUGAGAUACCACUCUCAGGAGGCUAGAAUUCUAACUUAAUUAAGGACAGUUUCAGGUGGGUAGUUUGACUGGGGCGGUCGCCUCCAAAAAGGUAACGGAGGCGUACAAAGGUUCCCUCAGACUGGUUGGAAAUCAGUCGCAGAGUGCAAAGGCAGAAGGGAGCUUGACUGCGAGAAGUACAGUUCGAGCAGGGUGGAAACACGGUCUUAGUGAUCCGACGGUGCUGAGUGGAAGGGCCGUCGCUCAACGGAUAAAAGUUACUCUAGGAUAACAGGCUGAUCUCCCCCAAGAGUUCACAUCGACGGGGAGGUUUGGCACCUCGAUGUCGGCUCAUCGCAACCUGGGGCGGAAGUACGUCCCAAGGGUUGGGCUGUUCGCCCAUUAAAGCGGUACGUGAGCUGGGUUCAGAACGUCGUGAGACAGUUCGGUCCAUAUCCGAUGUAGGCGUGAGAAUAUUGAGAGGAGCCUUCCUUAGUACGAGAGGACCGGGAAGGACGCACCGCUGGUGUACCUGUUAUGAUGCCAAUUGUAAACGCAGGGUAGCCAAGUGCGGAGAGGAUAACCGCUGAAAGCAUCUAAGUGGGAAGCCCACCUCAAGAUGAGUAUUCUGGUGUAAGGUCACGGGAAGACGACCCGUAAAUAGGCACGAGGUGGAAGUGCAGAGAUGUAUGAAGCCGAAGUGUAUUAAUAGACCGUC
rnacentral:rRNA from 1 species